CAGCAGCCACGGUAAUACGAAGGGGGCUAGCGUUGCUCGGAAUUACUGGGCGUAAAGGGAGCGUAGGCGGACAUUUAAGUCAGGGGUGAAAUCCCAGAGCUCAACUCUGGAACUGCCUUUGAUACUGGGUGUCUUGAGUGUGAUAGAGGUAUGCGGAACUCCGAGUGUAGAGGUGAAAUUCGUAGAUAUUCGGAAGAACACCAGUGGCGAAGGCGACAUACUGGAUCAUUACUGACGCUGAGGCUCGAAAGCGUGGGGAGCAAACAGGAUUAGAUACCCCAGUAGUCCCUGUCUCUUAUAC
rnacentral:rRNA from 1 species